GGCACCUUUAAAGGCAGUCCAGAGAGGCUGAUAAGGUGAGCGGGUUUGCGAUUAGCUACGCAAUGUAUUAGCUAUCGUGGAAGGCUCUCUGUCAGCAAUGGCAGAGAGCCUUUCCGU
rnacentral:sRNA from 1 species